UACAGAGGGUGCAAGCGUUGUUCGGAAUCAUUGGGCGUAAAGCGCGUGUAGGCGGUUCAGUAAGUCUGCUGUGAAAGUCCAGGGCUCAACCCUGGGAUGCCGGUGGAUACUGCUGGACUAGAGUGCGGAAGAGGCGAGUGGAAUUCCCGGUGUAGCGGUGAAAUGCGCAGAUAUCGGGAGGAACACCAAUUGCGAAGGCAGCUCGCUGGGACGUUACUGACGCUGAGACGCGAAAGCGUGGGGAGCAAACAGG
rnacentral:rRNA from 1 species